CAUACCCUGACCUUUGGUUGGUCCACAUCAGCGUUAGUAAAAUUCAUUUUUGGGGGGAGAAGGGUUAAAACAGGGGGAAAAAUUUUUGGCUAAUUGCGCCACACUCCUUGCUUGAGCGGUACAAUUCCCGCCCUACUCCUCAAAUUUCAUUUCCCGCUCAACCUCUCUAAAGAAAAAUAUCAGAGCUGCAGUGAAGAGCUUCUAACAUUUUUUUGUUGUGUUCGCAACUUCUGUUGUUAUUGAAGACGAAGCUCAACAAGUUGCAGCUUGGCAACGCCAGUACGGAGGAUCAGCAGGAACAGGAAUGUGGUUGUUGAAGAUGGUAAUAAGGCAAAGACAAAGCAGAAGUGUUUUUAUGCAUUUUCUGUUAGCUCCCUCUUUGCAAGGUCCAUUUAUAAUCAAACUCAAAUGAAGCAAAAUCUUGUUUGAUAGGUCUUCAAAAUUGUGAAGAAGCCUACACUGAAAUACGAUUAUAUUUUAGCAAUAACUUUUGGAUAUUGUACUAAGGAUUUUAGGGACAUACCACUAAAUCGGCAAGUUUAGGAACCUAUAUGUGAGAGGAUAUUGUACGAGUGUAGAUGAUAGUUUAUCCGGGCUCAAUUUAUAUUUUUGUACUUCCUUGGACAAAUUAUGAGCCUGUUUGGAAUUCUUGCAUUAAGAAAUACGUGUAUUAGAAAUUGAAUUACAAUAAAGAUUGGUUUUUGUUUUGUCA